GAAGCCAUGUAAUGGCGCAGGUGGAAAAAGGAGAGGUACCGACGCGGUAAUGUAAGAACAAGAAGCAAACGGUUCGGGUAGUAAAUCAAAAGGCUCAAAUGACAAAUACAAAUCAAGAAGUAGAACAAAGAGAAGAUGAAGAAAAGUCAGAACAGCGAGGCACUUGCAAUGACAGAUGAACUGAAACGGGAUAUGCAUUUGCAUAAAUUGAAUGUGCAUACAGAAAUUAAUAGUUGACGACGCAUCGCAAAAAAGAACGAAAACUAAGUGAAAAAUAUGAACAUAAAAGUGAAAAAGUGAAAAGUAAAAUAACGCGCUGGGCAUUUCAUAAACCACAAUUGGCAAACAAAAAAAAUAGUUAAAUUAAGCAAAUGUGCGCGGUAAUGAAUCGGAACGAUUGGUACGCGUCGAGCCGUUAAACCGUACGGCGCAGCGCACUCCAUGCUUAUGCAAAGUGGUCGUGCAUGUUUAAUAAGCGCGUUCGUUGAUGGCAUGUGUUGGACGCAUGUUGCGCAGCAUAAAACAUGUGGCACUUUCUAGAGUUGGUGUGCAGAUUCUAUGCAUCCCUAUUGCAAACUCAUUUCAUCUCAACAGAUCACAGCUAAGGCGCUCGCAGCUCCACACUGGCUCCACAUGCCAACAACACACUCCAACGACUGGCAAUGAUCACGACACCAGUGUUAGUUGUAAAGUUUUKCGAAGCGCUGAAUUCAGUCUCGUUUUGACUCUUUCGUUUGUGUGACGUAGUCUCGUUGGCGAUCGGUUGAAGCGCGUGCUUGSUUGUCGGUGUACAAAUAUUUUUGUUUACAUAUUACGAGCCUUUACUAACAUACGAAGUUAAAAUGGUGCGCGAAGAAAAAUAAAUUUAAAUAACAAAUUAUAUGCGAA